rnacentral:rRNA from 1 species
CACCGCGGUCAUACGAAGGACUUGAACUAAUAAAUACCGGCGUAAAGCGUGAUUAAGAUCUUUAAACAAUAAAACAAAAACUAUUCUAUGCCGUAAAAAGCCAGAGAAUACUUAUAAUAAAUAACGAAGGUAAUUUUAUAAUUUCUGAACCCACGAUAGCUAAGAAA